UACGUAGGGUGCAAGCGUUGUCCGGAUUUAUUGGGCGUAAAGAGCUCGUAGGCGGUUUGUCGCGUCGGAUGUGAAAACCCAGGGCUCAACCCUGGGCCUGCAUUCGAUACGGGCGGACUAGAGUAUGGCAGGGGAGACUGGAAUUCCUGGUGUAGCGGUGAAAUGCGCAGAUAUCAGGAGGAACACCGGUGGCGAAGGCGGGUCUCUGGGCCAAAACUGACGCUGAGGAGCGAAAGCGUGGGGAGCGAACAGG
rnacentral:rRNA from 1 species